rnacentral:pre_miRNA from 1 species
AACAAUAUCCUGGUGCUGAGUGAGUUGCACACAGAGACUCCAGCAUCAGUGAUUUUGUUGA